CGACGUGGGGAACCUGCCCUAUACAGGGGGAUAACAGCUGGAAACGGCUGCUAAUACCGCAUAAGCGCACAGAAUCGCAUGAUUCAGUGUGAAAAGCCCUGGCAGUAUAGGAUGGUCCCGCGUCUGAUUAGCUGGUUGGUGAGGUAACGGCUCACCAAGGCGACGAUCAGUAGCCGGCUUGAGAGAGUGAACGGCCACAUUGGGACUGAGACACGGCCCAA
rnacentral:rRNA from 1 species